rnacentral:lncRNA from 1 species
GGAAGGGCGGAUUCCCCGGGCUGCCUGCGGCUCCGGCUCCGGCUCCUGCUCCUGCUCCCUGGCGGGCGGCGAGUGAGUGAGAGACAGCGCGGCCCUCCCGGCGGCCCAGAGGUGUCACUCUGUUUUGGAACUCUGUGCCAUGAUUACAUCUUGCAAGACCUGGGACCUGGGACCUACUCCCUCAUUAAAAGAUCUGUGGAAAAAGAACUGCCCUCUUGACAAGAGAGGACAAGAUUCACUGAUCAGUGAGAGUGAAGAGAACUCCUCUGUCCAGAUUCCUUUGCUGCCUGCAUUGGUCCAACAUAAAACCCUAAGUGUGAACUGGCCCAGCUCUGGAAGUCCACACAGCCUCUACCUGACUGUACAGGUGGAAAAUUGUUUACUGGGAAACGCUCCGCCUUGUCGGGAGCACACCAGUUUCCUAUGAUCCAGAAGAUGGUGGAGUCUAUGGCCCAGUUGCAAGAGGAGAAGCUGCAGCUGCAGGAAGAGCUGCUGGCACUGCAGGAGAAACUUUCUGCACGGGAGAAUGAAGGAGUCGCUGUGUCUGUCCAGCUGCAGGAUCAGGUACUGCAUAAGACUGAGCAGGAAGAACUCUGUGCAUGAACGGAGACGUUUUUAAG